rnacentral:rRNA from 1 species
GAUGAACGCUGGCGGCGCGCCUAAUACAUGCAAGUCGAGCGAACGGACGAGAAGCUUGCUUCUCUGAUGUUAGCGGCGGACGGGUGAGUAACACGUGGAUAACCUACCUAUAAGACUGGGAUAACUUCGGGAAACCGUAGCUAAUACCGGAUAAUAUUUUGAACCGCAUGGUUCAAAAGUGAAAGACGGUCUUGCUGUCACUUAUAGAUGGAUCCGCGCUGCAUUAGCUAGUUGGUAAGGUAACGGCUUACCAAGGCAACGAUGCAUAGCCGACCUGAGAGGGUGAUCGGCCACACUGGAACUGAGACGCGGUCCAGACUCCUACGGGAGGCAGCAGUAGGGAAUCUUCCGCAGUGGGCGAAAGCCUGACGGAGCAACGCCGCGUGAGUGAUGAAGGUCUUCGGAUCGUAAAACUCUGUUAUUAGGGAAGAACAUAUGUGGAAGUAACUGUGCACAGCUUGACGGUACCUAAUCAGAAAGCCACGGCUAACUACGUG